AUUGGUAGCUUUAGUAUACAAAUGAUUCAAAUUCCAUGUCCCUGUCUCCCUCUAUGUGUUCGUUAGUUUAUGGAUGCCACCCUAUGUUGCCAUCAUAGCCUAAAAACRUUAUUCUGAUGGGCGGUCGUGUUAUUAUGCAUUUGUAAAAAAAAUAUCUAAAAAAAAUACAAAUACAAAUAAAAGACGGAAGGAAGGUGCGGUUGUAUUUGAUUGUCAGUAAAGAAUAGGCUAUAUAUUAUAUGUUAUUAUUAGGCGAUAUGAUUUAGUGUUCGGCUUUUAAAAUAUUUUUUGUUGUUGCUGUGUUGACAGUUCUACAAUGCAUGCAUUUAACGCACCUGCAGCAUUCCUUUGCCAACUAGGCUAUUUAACGUGCCUGUGUUUCAUUAUUGUAUGGUUAGGUUAGGCAAAUUGUCAUCAUGGCUCUAUCUAUAUCAUAGUUACAGGCCUUGGUGUGAUGACAUUCCGAAUAGAUUUUAUUGUUUUCAGUUGUCGCACUGUUACCUAAAGCCCAAUCGAUGCAUGUGAUGCUGACGGCUGACAUGCUUCCAGCCUACAGUCAGUCUUUUGGUUUGGCGGUUCACUGGGGUGCCGUUUAUGAUAAAAACAUGUUCUAAUAGUGAGCUUAACAUGACAGAUCUGUCAAAUUAGCUAAUUUUACUGCAUAUGGCUUUGCCACCUAUGAAUUAAUCUGUGCGGUUUACAGAAAUUGGUCUGCAAAAACAACGUCACACCCAGCUAUUGCACUCACGGGAACCUAGAUAAGGUCUGCCUGCAAGCAGAUCAUGAGACGGUUUAUUUGGAGAAUGCCAUUCUUCCAUCCCAAUAUGCUCUUUGUGCAGCCACUCUCGCUGAACCAGAAAGUACAGUUAUGCGUUCCUGUAUACGAGAACCAGUGCAUUGCAGCAGACCUGAGUGCUUGGGUAACGUGACGCCACAACAACAGCUCUCUCUCCUGGAUAUUUGUUCUCCUUUGUUAGAUGGUGAAUGGUAAUGUCGUGGGAGUGUGUGUUGAUUCAAGUGACUGAAUUACGUAAUUAUACAGAUUAUACAGGUGUGUGUGUGUUUUGUGUGUGUGUGAGUGUAUGUAUGAGUGUGAGGUAAGGUGGGUGUGGCUGGAUAUACCUGCAUUCACUCACCAGUAUUCUAGAUUACAUAUUUGUCUAAGGACUCUCUCUCUCUUUUCUCUCUCUCUUUUCUCUCUCUCUUUU